AGGACCCAAAGAGCCUUUCCUGCAGGCGCUGCCCUGGCCCCAUUCCCUGCCCAGCCCUUCUCCUUUCCUCAGCCUCUCUUUAGUGUUCAGUCCGCUGGGCUCCCGUUCUCCUUCCCGCAGCCCCUCAAAGCCACCGAACAGUCUUUCAGAGAGACCCUGAUCUCUCCGUCUCAUCCCACCUCCCCCACGCCCUACAGCCCCAGGCCACGGGGACUGCAAGGAGUGAGAAGGGAAGCCCGGGCUCGUCUCCGCGCCUGCGCUUUGGGGAGAGCCUCCCCUCCGCAACAACCCGGCACCGCUAAGCUGCACCCGGACCGUGGGAUGCAGGUAAAAUAUCUUGGAGACCUUUUGAUAUUAGCAUAUACAGAUCUACCUUGUUCUUCUAAACAACUGCAGAGUAGUCUACUUAUGGCUGCACCACAUUGUUUCCUGCUGAUGGGCAUUUGUGUUGUUUCCAGCUUUCAACCAACUGUAAUGGAUAACAGGGUACAAAAAUCCUUGCAUACUUAUCUGCAGGGGGUCAAGUCUGAGCUGUAGCCACCCGCC